rnacentral:lncRNA from 1 species
GCCUAUUUUAUGCUCUGCUUCAUUUCAUUGAUUAAGCUUUAGAGGGAUGCGAAAGAGAAACGCCAGAUCAGUUAAGAUGCUUAAAGUAUUCUUUCUAAACUUGGGGGGUUGAUUACUAGAAGAGAAAAUGAAGGCCAGUUGUAUUUUCUUUUUAUUUCGCAGCAAAAUCUCAUCACCGGUAUGCUGGAUGUCCCAUAUCUCAAAGGUAUUUCUCGUACUUGCAUUGGUUGUGCCGCAGUAAAAGUUCUUAAAACUUGCAAAGUUCUCUGUCUUUGGUCACUUUUGAGCACAGUGUAGUUGACUUCUGCUGAUAACUUGCUUCGAGCAGAUAACCUUGAAAUCCAUGACAUCAUGCUUGCAAGCUGCGGUGCAAGUUGGCUCGAAAAAGUGGACAAUGCAUGUUCUGCGCAUAGUGUUUGCAGUAGCCCAUUUUGUUUGUCAACUUUGUGGCUGUGCUCGUGCUUCAAGACUUCACCUCCCUGUGGACAUUGUGAUCUGCUGUACGAACAUUGUGGAGUGACAGCUUUGCCACACUGCAGGAGAACCUCUUAACCGAGUUCAACCUUUCAAGCAAAUGUUUCUUGUGUUUUGUGAUGCGACCAAGUUUUGUAGGCCUGCGAGUGUUCAUAUACUAGUAUUUCUAAUCUCUUUGAUGUGUCUGUGUUGGGUAAUGAGUACUACACUUCGUUUCAUACUAAGCAGGCAAUGUUGUGAAAGCUAUAAAAAUAUGGCGAAUCCUUCUGAGAAGCUCAUAUUGAGAAGCUGAUAUUGGUUUUCUUGUAGCUUUGGCUACUUCCAGCAGAUAAGAAAUUUUCCCUUUCAUGGAAGUGGUACGUUCAUAGAAGGCUCACUCUGUGCAUUUUGCAGUGCAGUUGCAUUUGUAUUUGAUCUGCGAUUUUUUCUACAGCAUAACAUCAUCACACAUUACAACUGCACUUCAAAACAUUGCUGUGUGUAGCUUUUUGGACAUGCCUGAGUAUUUGAUGGGUAGUAUGUGCUUCCUGCACAGACAAUAUAGGAACGUUUUUUUUUCUUUUUCUUUCUUUCUUUUCUUUUUUUCUUUUUUUAUGCUGUGGGCUUGAGGUAGCACUUGGCAACUGCAGCCAUUCAUAAUUAGUUUUACACCUUGUGCCCAGUCUUCUUUUAGAGGUUCCAUAGGGCAGUGUGCUUGCCUGCGAAUUGUUCAUUGUGAUGUUUGUGAUUUGUUUUUUUUUUCUUACUGUGUUGCACUUAUAUAGACAGUUACUAGAAUUCUUUUAUAUUGUGCCUCUUAAACUACAGCAUAUGCACUGAUGGUUUUUAUUCUGAACAAAGAAAAAAAAACGAAGAUUUUGUGCUUAUGGCCACUCUACCUUGUUCUUGCUCAGAUUUCGCACCAAAAUUGCAUUUCUUGGCCUGCAUCACUCAGUAAUAUAGUUAGCAUUCUUGUUUGCCUGGCUUGUCCUGAUGUUUAAGUAAGGAAAUCAGUCUUAGUCAUUUUAUCAGCUUUUUCAGUUCACAUGCAACGGUCACUUUUAAAUGUUUUGCUUGACGAACCAGGGAAGCAGCGAUAACGAGGGCUUGGAAUUGAAUGAUGAGAAGGAAAAAAAAAAGUGAUUGUGUGGCAAAAUCUGAGCAAUAACAAAAUCUCAGUAAGUGCAGAACCUUCUUUUGUAAGGUGGUCAGAAUAAAAAUGUUGGUCACUGCA